UACGAAGGGAGCUAGCGUUGUUCGGAAUUACUGGGCGUAAAGGGCGCGUAGGCGGCUUGGCAAGUCAGAUGUGAAAGCCCAGGGCUCAACCCUGGAAUUGCAUUUGAGACUGCUUUGCUUGAAUUCGGUAGAGGUUGGUGGAAUUCCCAGUGUAGAGGUGAAAUUCGUAGAGAUUGGGAAGAACACCCGUGGCGAAGGCGGCCAACUGGACCGACAUUGACGCUGAGGCGCGAAAGCGUGGGGAUCAAACAGG
rnacentral:rRNA from 1 species